AGAGAAUGAGAGAGAUGCGAAAAUAAGAGCGUGAGAAUCGAGGUUGGAAAAUAAAGCAGUCUUGUUGUACGUUUUGGCACGGAAACAUGUGUUUUUAUAUCGGUCUGAAAACUAGUCGAAAAUAUUGGUCCGAAAUUCUGUGUCGCGAGCCCGGAUCACGACAAUGGCGCGGAUCGGUUUCCCGAGCCUACGCGAUGUCAUUUCGAGGUGUUUUGUUUGCGGCGCGAUCAAAAGGGGAAUUAAAUGUUUGUGUUGACUGCGUUUUAUUUUCGUUUUCGCGAGUGUUAAAAAAAGUGUGAUGGGAAGUAAAAGAAGACCCUUGAGAAGACCUUAAAUUUCACGAGUGAGGGUUUAGUGCGGUGUUGCGGCAAAGCGGCGGUGUUUGGUAAAGGUGUUGGUGUUGGUGUUGUGGCGUUUCGAACGAGCCCUGCGGCACAACAGCGGUAUUUUUUUACAAGGCUGCACACCAACACAAACGCAUUCGUUUCCGUUCGGUGUGUCACCGGAGAUUACACGAGUUUGUUUCAAGGUGAAUCCAGGAUGGAACUAAGGUGGACUUGGAAAUCUUUGACAAAAUUUAACUGGAGGCAACAAAUUUGAGUAUCGAAUUGAUUAGUGAAUCCAAAAUAUUCUACAGACUUUUUUUUAUCGUUUCAGGUAACACCAUGAGAAAAAGGUUGACGGAUGGUGCACUGGAAUCUACCAUCGACAGGACAAUUUUGUACAAGCGAAUCAUGGGGAAGAAUGAAUUGUAAAUAUUAUAACGUUUUUGAAAAGAUGUAGGUUUUUAUGCGGACGGGCUUUUCCUACCAACAAAAAAAAAUGAAUCUAUUUAGUUUUUUUUCCAUGCCACAUAGAAUAGAUGUAUUAGUUGAAAUUAUUCACAUAGAGUAGAGGAGAGGGAGAAUGUAGGGAAUGAGUGCAGGUUCAGUUAAAUUAAAUUGUUUGUUUGUGUUAGUAGGCAUGCAAAAGACAGUAGAAAUUGAGAGGAGCAAAAAAAUUGGUAGCAAAUUACAGUAGAGCCCAUGUUUCCGAUGGUGUUGGCAAGCGAGAGCGUUUUGAGAGAGGCAAAAAGAGAGAAUGAGAGAGAUGCGAAAAUAAGAGCGUGAGAAUCGAGGUUGGAAAAUAAAGCAGUCUUGUUGUACGUUUUGGCACGGAAA